GUGGAAGUAGCUCAGCUGGUAGAGCGCUGGACUGUGGCUCCAGUCGUCGCGGGUUCGAUCCCCGUCUUCCACCCCA
rnacentral:tRNA from 1 species